CGGGAUUGCCUUAGUAACGGCGAGUGAAGCGGCAAAAGCUCAAAUUUGAAAUCUGGCGUCUUCGACGUCCGAGUUGUAAUUUGAAGAAGGCGACUUUGUAGCUGGUCCUUGUCUAUGUUCCUUGGAACAGGACGUCAUAGAGGGUGAGAAUCCCGUGUGGCGAGGAUCCCAGUUAUUUGUAAAGUGCUUUCGACGAGUCGAGUUGUUUGGGAAUGCAGCUCUAAGUGGGUGGUAAAUUCCAUCUAAAGCUAAAUAUUGGCGAGAGACCGAUAGCGAACAAGUACAGUGAUGGAAAGAUGAAAAGAACUUUGAAAAGAGAGUGAAAAAGUACGUGAAAUUGUUGAAAGGGAAGGGCAUUUGAUCAGACAUGGCGUUUGCUUCGGCUUUCGCUGGGCCAGCAUCAGUUUUAGCGGUUGGAUAAAUCCUCGGGAAUGUGGCUCUGCUUCGGUAGAGUGUUAUAGCCCGUGGGAAUACAGCCAGCUGGGACUGAGGAUUGCGACUUUUGUCAAGGAUGCUGGCGUAAUGGUUAAAUGCCGCCCGUCUUGAAACACGGACCUCCUGUGUGAAGU
rnacentral:rRNA from 1 species